rnacentral:lncRNA from 1 species
AUUGUGACUGAAGUCUUUUUCCAAGGAUCUGUGUGCUACAGACAGAUUUUUUUUUUUUUACCAGAGCAAAUUCAAGUGCAGCUUUAGCCUUUCGUACUCAGUCUCCAUCGACCUGUCAGAGACAUCACAGUGAUUGACUGCCCUGGCAGAUGUGCCGCUAUAACAGCAAGAGUUCUAUCAAGAUCUCUGCAAGCCCAGGGCAUUGAGAAGUUGCUGAAGAACAUUCAUCUCAACUUGAGCCUGAAGAUCUUCUAAGCUGCAAUAGCUUUUGGCAUAGAUAGAGAGUGCAAAAAACUUGCACUUCCAGUGGAUUCACAGUAACUCUGCAGAACUCAAGGUGGUAUUGCUAAGAGCACAGAAUAAUUUCCUUUGUUGGAUGGGAAGACUACAUAAGGCUGCAAAAUCUUUUGGAGCUGGAGGCUGAGUUUUCUUCAUGAAUGCCACAACUUUGCUGAGGAAUUAUUUUAUCAACCAUUAGGUACUGUGCAUCUGAAAAAAAAGUUGUGGAAUCAGAAGGAAUAAAGUUGUCUGGAUGAAUCUGGAUGGGAAAAAG